GGAUGGAUCAUUAAACACUUAUCCAAGUACCUCAUCGCGCCCCCUUAGCAGGCCGUAAAAAAGUCUGCUUCGGUUUAGGUGCCAACCUAUCUAGUAAAGGAAUUAGAUCCAUAAUUAGUGGCUUCGUCUCCUAACCCUGAGUUGAAGUAAAACGGAACCCAAAACAGCAGAAGGGACCAUUCUUGGGCCGAGUAGCUGGUUGUCCUGUGAUCCUCACGGGUAGGUGUGGUAGCGUGAUCGUCACAUCACGUGUGCUCACCUGCUUUUGGCAGGGGGGUCAUGGGGCUCGCGGCGGAAAGGCCUGUUUUGGCUAACCCAUUGUUCCGCAGGGUAAAGAAGCGGCUCUAGAGUAGCGGAGGUGACUCCGGUCUCGGGCCUCGCUUGUUGCUGCGUCGCGUGACGUUGUUCUUUUGCGAACAGGGAGGGAGAGAAGUUUCAUUCAAUUUUAUUAUAUUUGGGGAUGUAGCUCAGCUGGUAGAGCGCACCGUUAGCAACGGUGAGGCCUGGAGUUCAAUCCUCCACUUCUCCAUAUGUUGAAUGAGGCUUUUCCGGCUUCCACAGUAGCAGAACAAAAGAUGCGUUCGCCGACAGGCUUGGAUGUCCGUAAUAGGACGAACCGGUCUCGCGUAGUAUCCUUCCGUGAAAAGGACGUGUCCAGGGGGAGGACAUUAAAUAAAAUUCCCUGGGGAAGAUGUCCGCGCGCUCGCUCACCUUUCGGGGAGAGAGAGAAACGUAGACUGGCGCCUAACUUUGUGCUGCUGUGCACGUAUGAUUCACACCAACUUAUGUAACCGAACGUCUGAUCAAAGGUUGGCCGCUGAAUAAGUGGUUUACAACUUCAUGAAUUAUUAAUCGCGUAAACUUUUAUACAACUGUUAGCAACGGAUAUCUUGGUUCUCGCAACGAUGAAGAACGCAGCGAAAUGCGAUACGUAGUGCGAAUUGCAGAAUUCAGUGAAUCAUCAAAUUUUUGAACGCAAAUUGCGCUCUUGGGAUAGCCCCGGGAGCACGCUUCUUUGAGUAUCGGUACACCCACCCUCGGGCGGCGUUGCUAAACAGCAACGUGCAGCUCCGGUUUAUGAGCGUCACGGCUACUAGUGUGCUUAGAGCUGUGUCGCUUCAAGUUCAGAGCAGCUUUUUGCUUUAGGCUCAAUUAUCCUCUCCCAGUCGCUGGGACUUGCAAUGGGUACCACACACAAAAACCUAUUCAAAAUUGCAGGUCACACCAAACUGGCAUUGAGAGAGGGAGUCUUUUAGCGCCAUGGAGCUUGCUAAUUGGAAUAACACAGGGUCUUGUCGCUCGAUCAGGUUCUCUGGUCAGGCGCACAAGGUCCGACCCCGGAAAUAGAUCUCAGAUGAAGCGAGAAAACCCGCUGGACUUAAGCAUAUUAUUAAGCGGAGGAAAAGAAACUAACAAGGAUUCCCCUAGUAACGGCGAGUGAAGCGGGAAGAGCUCAACUUGAAAACCGGUGCUCCAUGCGGGGUAUCGGGUUGUAGUCUAGAGACGUGUCAUCAGCGUGUGACCCAGGUAUAAAUCUUUUGGAACAAGGUAUCAUAGAGGGUGAGAAUCCCGUCUUUGACCUGGAGUUCGCCGCGUACGAUACACGUUCAACGAGUCGAGUUGGUCGGGAUUCCAGCUCUAAAUGGGUGGUAAAUUUCAUCUAAAGCUAAUACAGGCGAGAGACCGAUAGCGAACAAGUACCGUGAGGGAAAGAUGAAAAGAACUUUGAAAAGAGAGUUAAAAAGAACUUGAAAUUGCUAACAGCGAAGCGCUGGAAACCAGUCGUGCUCGGCGUCCAUAUUUAUGGUCCGUCUGCUCCUGCCCGUUCGCGAGAGUGUUUAAACCUCCUCGCGGGCGGGUCUUGGGGUGGCGCGGGCCAGUUCUGUGGUGCUGAGUGGGUCAGGAUCGGUUGGUCUCGCGGGAGAAGGCCCCGGGAAGGUAGGCGGGAGGCAGCAAUGCUGACCGCUGUUAUAGGCCCUGGGGAGAUACCGUGGGAUCGACUGAGGCAUCUUUAAUGCGCACCUUCCCUCCGGGAGGGCUGGGCGCCCCGUCCCUGCCGUGCCAUCCUCUAUGGACAGCCAAGCUGUGCGAGUGGAGAAGCGCGGUACUGGGCGGGAUGCGUCACAUGCGUGUUCGGGAUCCUGACGAAAUGGUUUUCAUUGACCCGUCUUGAAACACGGACCAAGGAGUCUAACAUAUAUGCGAGUAUUUGGGUGGAAAACCCUGGUGCGUAAUGAAAGUAAAGGCAGGCUUGUCCUGCUGAGGUAGGAAUCCUGGCCCGCCGGGCUGGGAGGCACUAUCGACCGACCUGGCACUUGUGAAAGGUUUGAGUAAGAGCAUAUCUGUUGGGACCGAAGAUGGUGAUCUAUGCCUGAACAGGGCGAAGCCAGGGGAAACUCUGGUGGAGGCUCGUAGCGAUACUAACGUGCAAAUUGUUCGUCUGAUUUGGGUAUAGGGGCGAAAGACUAAUCGAACCAUCUAGUAGCUGGUUCCCUC
rnacentral:tRNA from 1 species